UUCUCAAUCCCUCUCUCAGCGUAACCCUCCUUUACGGGUUAUAUCACACCACCGGUACAACCAUCAGUCAAGCUACAUCAAACCCUAGAUACCUCCAUCUCCCCUACUCCGAUCUGUCUAAUUGUUUAAUAUAAAGAUGGUUUCGGAAGCCAGCAAAAAGAAGGCUGCUCAAAAGAAGGCGGCCGCGGCGGCCAAGCGAGGUGGCAAAGCAGCAGCAUCCUCCUCGAAAACGGUAGCGGCGACGGCGGCGUCUGAUUCACAGAAUGAAGGUGUUGAUAAGUUGUCGAAUGGAGUUGGAGCCCUUCAGGUAUCCGAUCGGACUUGUACAGGCGUCCUCUGUUCCCAUCCUCUUUCCAGAGAUAUUCGAAUCGAGUCGUUGUCAGUUACUUUUCAUGGACAUGAUCUCAUUGUAGAUUCUGAGCUGGAGCUUAACUAUGGCAGACGAUACGGAUUACUUGGUUUAAAUGGAUGUGGGAAAUCAACCCUCCUAGCUGCCAUAGGGUGUCGGGAACUUCCAAUUCCAGACCACAUGGACAUAUAUCACCUCACCAGGGAGAUCGAAGCCUCUGACAUGUCUUCACUUGAGGCUGUGAUAAGCUGUGAUGAGGAGAGGUUGAAAUUGGAGAAGGAAGCCGAAGUCUUGGCAGCAAAGGAUGAUGGAGGUGGAGAAGCUCUUGAUCGUAUUUAUGAGCGUUUGGAGGCCAUGGAUGCAUCAACUGCUGAGAAACGUGCUGCUGAAAUUUUGUAUGGUCUUGGGUUUAACAAGAAAAUGCAAGAAAAGAAAACUCGAGAUUUUUCUGGUGGCUGGAGAAUGAGAAUUGCAUUAGCUCGGGCUUUGUUCAUGAACCCAACUAUCCUCUUGCUUGAUGAGCCAACCAAUCAUCUUGAUCUAGAAGCCUGUGUCUGGUUGGAGGAAACUUUGAAGAAGUUUGACCGAAUUCUAGUUGUGAUCUCACAUUCCCAGGAUUUCUUGAAUGGUGUCUGCACAAACAUUAUCCAUAUGCAAAACAAGAAAUUGAAAAUCUACACUGGUAACUUUGAUCAGUAUGUUCAGACCCGUUCUGAACUGGAAGAAAAUCAGAUGAAACAAUACAAGUGGGAGCAGGAUCAAAUUGCUUCCAUGAAGGAGUAUAUCGCCCGAUUUGGGCAUGGGUCAGCAAAAUUAGCUCGCCAGGCACAGAGCAAGGAGAAAACUCUUGCAAAAAUGGAGCGGGGUGGACUUACAGAAAAGGUUGCAAGAGACAAGAUUCUGGUCUUUCGCUUUGUCAAUGUUGGAAAGCUCCCACCACCGGUGCUUCAGUUUGUGGAAGUAACCUUUGGCUACACACCUGAUAAUCUCAUCUAUAAGAGUAUUGACUUUGGUGUUGAUCUGGACUCUAGGAUUGCGCUGGUUGGGCCAAAUGGUGCUGGGAAGAGUACCCUACUGAAGCUUAUGACUGGUGAUUUGGUUCCUUUAGAUGGUAUGGUUCGGCGGCACAAUCACUUGAGGAUUGCACAAUUUCACCAGCACUUGGCUGAGAAGCUUGACUUGGAAAUGUCUGCCCUCCAGUAUAUGAUUAAAGAGUAUCCAGGGAAUGAGGAGGAAAGAAUGAGGGCAGCUAUUGGGAAGUUUGGGUUGACAGGCAAGGCCCAGGUGAUGCCCAUGAAGAACUUGUCAGAUGGGCAGAGGAGCAGGGUGAUAUUUGCUUGGCUGGCGUAUAGGCAGCCCCACUUGCUACUGCUGGAUGAGCCAACAAACCAUUUGGAUAUCGAGACGAUUGACUCUCUGGCUGAGGCAUUGAAUGAGUGGGAUGGGGGUCUUGUUCUUGUUAGCCAUGAUUUCAGGCUCAUAAAUCAGGUAGCAGAGGAGAUUUGGGUAUGCGAAAAUCAAGCUGUUACCCGGUGGGAGGGUGACAUUAUGGACUUCAAGAAGCACCUCAAGAUGAAGGCCGGUUUGUCUGAUUAAAGCUUGCAUCACUUUGUCUGUCCCAACAGCUGCAUAUUCGCAAUGUUGGGUUUUCUGGAUGACGACACAUCCCAGGCAGAAUCGUGAUGUAGGCUUGUAGAGGAGGACUGGUGAGGUGCACGGCUUGGUUAUUGUUUUGAGCCAAUGAUCAUCUUAUCCUUUGUGCUCAUUACCAGGGAGUAUAUUUGUUUUCCUUGAUUACGAUUGGCGCACUAGUAGACUUGGUUGUUUACCAAGAAGAUACUUAUAUAGGUUAGAGGUGAUGCCAAUGGGAUCCCGAUCCCCUUGCCCGUGCCUUUGUUAUAUGUCAGCUCCAUGAUGAAACACUCGGCAACAAAGCAGGAAAAACCCUAAAGAAAGACAGGGAACAGCCAGAUUACAAAUCAGACAUCAUGAUACCAAACUCAAGCUCGUAUUCUCCCUAGAAACAUCUCCCCUGGAGCUUGGAAAGCACCCGGUCAUCCAACAUCUUAUAAUAUAGUUCCUCGGGACGCAAACCCUGACUUGUCCUU